AGAUUGAACGCUGGCGGAAUGCUUUACACAUGCAAGUCGAGCGGCAGCGCGGGGGCAACCCUGGCGGCGAGCGGCGAACGGGUGAGUAAUACAUCGGAACAUGUCCAGUUGUGGGGGAUAGCCCGGCGAAAGCCGGAUUAAUACCGCAUGAGCUCGAGAGAGGAAGCGGGGGACCUAAGCCUCGCGCGACUGGGUUGCCGAUGUCCGAUUAGCUUAGGUUGGUAGGGUAAACGCCUACCAAGGCGAUGAUCGGUAGCUGGUCUGAGAGGAUGAUCAGCCACACUGGACUGAGACACCGGCCACGACUCCCGUACGGGAGGCAGCAGGUGGGAAUUUUGGACAAGGUGGGGACCAACCCGUGACUCGACG
rnacentral:rRNA from 1 species